rnacentral:rRNA from 1 species
UACGGAGGGGGCGAGCGUUAUUCGGAAUUAUUGGGCGUAAAGGGCGCGUAGGCGGCGCGAUAAGUCAAAGGUGAAAUCCCUCGGCUCAACUGAGGAACUGCCUUUGAGACUGUCGAGCUCGAGGCCGGGAGGGGGUAGCGGAAUUCCCAGUGUAGCGGUGAAAUGCGUAGAUAUUGGGAGGAACACCAGUGGCGAAGGCGGUCCCCUGGGCCGGAACUGACGCUGAGGCGCGAAAGCGUGGGUAGCAAACGGGG